rnacentral:rRNA from 1 species
GAUGAACGCUGGCGGCGUGCCUAAUACAUGCAAGUCGAGCGAACAGACGAGGAGCUUGCUCCUCUUACGUUAGCGGCGGACGGGUGAGUAACACGUGGAUAACCUACCUAUAAGACUGGGAUAACUUCGGGAAACCGGAGCUAAUACCGGAUAAUAUAGUUAACCGCAUGGUUCAAUAGUGAAAGACGAUUUUGCUGUCGCUUAUAGAUGGAUCCGCGCCGCAUUAGCUAGUUGGGAAGGUAACGGCUUACCAAAGCAACGAUGCGUAGACGACCUGAGAGGGUGAUCGGCCACACUGGAACUGAAACACGGUCCAGACCCCUACGGGAGGCAGCAGUAGGGAAUGUUCCGCAAUGGGAGAAAGCCUGACGGGACAAAGCCGCGUGAGUGAUGAAGGUCUUCGGAUCGUAAAACUCUGUUAUUAGGGAAGAACAAAUGUGUAAGUAACUAUGCACGUCUUGACGGUACCUAAUCAGAAAGCCACGGCUAACUACGUG